rnacentral:rRNA from 1 species
GAGUUUGAUCCUGGCUCAGGACGAACGCUGGCGGCGCGCCUAACACAUGCAAGACGAACGAGCGAGAGAGAGCUUGCUUUCUCGAGCGAGUGGCGAACGGGUGAGUAACGCGUGAGGAACCUGCCUCAAAGAGGGGGACAACAGUUGGAAACGACUGCUAAUACCGCAUAAGCCCACAGGUCGGCAUCGACCAGAGGGAAAAGGAGCAAUCCGCUUUGAGAUGGCCUCGCGUCCGAUUAGCUAGUUGGUGAGGUAACGGCCCACCAAGGCGACGAUCGGUAGCCGGACUGAGAGGUUGAACGGCCACAUUGGGACUGAGACACGGCCCAGACUCCUACGGGAGGCAGCAGUGGGGAAUAUUGCACAAUGGGGGAAACCCUGAUGCAGCGACGCCGCGUGCGGGACGAAGGCCUUCGGGUUGUAAACCGCUUUCAGCAGGGAAGACAUAGACGGUACCUGCAGAAAAAGCUCCGGCUAACUACGUGCCAGCCGCCGCGGUAAUAC